rnacentral:rRNA from 1 species
AUUGAACGCUGGCGGCAUGCCUUACACACGCAAGUCGAACGGCAGCACGGGUGCUUGCACCUGGUGGCGAGUGGCGAACGGGUGAGUAAUACAUCGGAACAUGUCCUGUAGUGGGGGAUAGCCCGGCGAAAGCCGGAUUAAUACCGCAUACGAUCCACGGAUGAAAGCGGGGGACCUUCGGGCCUCGCGCUAUAGGGUUGGCCGAUGGCUGAUUAGCUAGUUGGUGGGGUAAAGGCCUACCAAGGCGACGAUCAGUAGCUGGUCUGAGAGGACGACCAGCCACACUGGGACUGAGACACGGCCCAGACUCCUACGGGAGGCAGCAGUGGGGAAUUUUGGACAAUGGGCGAAAGCCUGAUCCAGCAAUGCCGCGUGUGUGAAGAAGGCCUUCGGGUUGUAAAGCACUUUUGUCCGGAAAGAAAUCCUUGGCUCUAAUACAGUCGGGGGAUGACGGUACCGGAAGAAUAAGCACCGGCUAACUACGUG